rnacentral:ncRNA from 1 species
UUAACUACCAGAUGUUGUGAUUAUUCUGUGAUCAACACGGGUAGUCGGGAAUCCGGUGAGAGUCCGGAACUGACGCGCAGCGGUAUUGGGGAACGAGCGUGGCAAAGAUGACACUGGCAAGGAGCCCCUGGUUACCUUCUGAAUCGCCUCUGCGUGCUCUGAAAACUGCAGAUGCAAGGCGCGGCUCGCCGCCAAUGGCCUUAGCCCUUGGCAAGAGUCGCAACACAGCAUAUGCAGUUUUCAGAGCGCGCCCUUCGGGGCUUUCAGAGCGCUUCAUACUCGGCGUUGCAACUUUUUGAAAGGCCCCGGCCUUACUGCAAAGUUGCGCCUUGAUUGUGAAACGCUCUGAAAGCCAGAGGCGACUCAGAAGGUAACCAGGGGCUCCAGCCGGGAAGUCGCCACGCAAGGCCGGAUCAAACGAUCCACGCCCCUGAGUCCGAAGACCUGCCAGGGAGGUGCUGUUUCC